rnacentral:lncRNA from 1 species
GAAAACAUGCUGAUGGGGUGGAAUAUGGAUGUUGUAUCGCUGAAAGUAAUUGUCGAGAAGCCUCGCACGUGGAGGGGCAAUUUCGUUUCUAGGACAGUGCUCUGCACGCCUCGAUCCACAGGUCUUUUUUAAUCUUUUUCUUUCCAGUAUUUAUUUUUUAAUUUUUUUUAGAAAUUUUUUUAAACUGAAAUUAAACUUUCAAAUUAUUUUUAAAAAAUAUUUUAAUAAAAGAUCAGAAAGAUUUUCGAAACAUUAUCAUAUUGAAAUCAUAGGAAACGAUCUUUAUUCUCAAAUAACUUAGCUUUUAGAGAGAGGCAUUGUAUCACAUACAUUAUUUCACAUCGUAC